rnacentral:lncRNA from 1 species
GUGCACCUAGCUCAGGAAGCCUUCCUUUCUAGUCUCUACAGCUGUUUCCCUCUUUUCCCAUCUCAUUCUUCCCUCUUCAUUUCUGGCCUAUCUUUUAACAUCUCCAUCCCUUUGAUGCCUCAUCCAUCUCCUCUUCACCGUCUUGUCUUUGCCUGUUCCCUUUUCUGCUUCUCUGCUCCUCUUAAGGCUGGGUUUUCCUCCUGCGUCUCCUCUGUGCGCCUGUGAGUGUCCCCUGUCUGCUCAUCCUCUCUCCCUCUGUCCACCUGUUUCUCUUUCUUCCAGCGUUUCUCCAUCUCACGCGCUGCCUCUGUCAUUUUCUCUCUUUCUUCGUCUUUCUCUCUCUCUCAUUGUUCUGAGACAUAGCAGUGCCUGGCCCAGCGGGGACAACAUGUUUCACAGACAAAUCAUCCAACAAAAGAGAGGAGGAACGUGCUUCAGCUGGCUGUCCCCAUGCCUUCUGCUCCCGCUUCUGGAAGGGAAGACAGGGCAGGGACCAUGUCCAGCUGCAGAAAAUCCCAGUGUUUUUCUGUGGCAUUGCCUGGUAAAGGCUGAACGUGGCUUUCGUGAGAGCUAAUCUGCCUGCCCAACCAGAUUGUGCUGUGGCUAAAAUUGCUGUGAGCUCGACAGUGCCUGAAGACUGGAGAAAACUGAGCCAUGUCUUGGAUGCUCUUGCGGGGCCUAGGGGAGUGCCAGGCCAGAAGGAGAACUGCCUGUGGACUCUCAGUAGGAAAGCAGCUAACGAGGUGAUGAGUGAGUGUCGCCUGGAAGUCUGGGGGCCAUUCCAUGUGGGUCACAUCGCCUGACCAGAGGGUUGGGUGCCUGGACAGGGCUGAGCUUGGGACUCCUUCCAGGGCCUGGCCUCAGCUGCUGGGCCUGCCGAGCAUGCCCCACAAGCACCCACGCACACAUACAAGUAUGGAGGCAGAGUGGAAGUUUGACUUUUGCAGAUCUCGUACAGCCUGGAGUAGAGAAGAGAAUUGGGAACUCUCAAUGUUGUGUGACCCUAGGCAAGUCCCUUCCCUGCCUUGUGCCUCAGUUUCCCUUUACAUACCAUGAGGAUGUUCCCAGUGUUGGUGUUUUAAUGCCUGCAGACAAGCUAAGCUCAUCAUCUGGUUCCCGGAAGAGAUCCUCCUUUUGUGGAAAGGCCACAGCCACUCUGCCACCCUGAGGCUCCCACUCCUCCUUCUCUGGAACCCUCUCCCUUGCCUGUAGGUCACGGGAAUGUCAAGAGCACCCAGGGAAGUGCCUGCUGCCAGUCAUCACUCACUGAUUAUGUGACAGCAGAGGAGCCAAGAAGCUGCUGGGAAUCGAGACACCCCCCCAUUCAGUCCCCACCAUCUCUGUCUUCAUGAGGUUCCCUGGGAGAAGCUCCUAUGUCUGGGAAUGGAAAUGUCUCCACCUGGAUAGGGACAAACAGGAGCUGGGGGCUGCAUCUUAAGACUUCUUGUCCCAUUAGUGCUGACCUCUGGAGACGGCUCCUGAAUUGUGCCCACUCCCCCACCUCCUCACCACACACAUGCUCUGGGCCGUGCGAGGCUCAGCUUGUCACGGACAAGCUAAAAUGAGGUGGCCUGAAUGCCCCUUAUCAUAGACAGCUUAUCUCCUGUGGUCACUCACCUGACAGACUCCAGAGAGCCACUCAGCGGGCCUCUCCCAGCCGCCUGCUUCUCAGCUCUGACUCUCCCUUGCCUUAAGGGGACACUGGAUUCCAGUGACCCUCCUAUUGGUCAGAGUUGGGCUGAGCACAGAGAAGGGGUAGAAUGCUCCUGGGAACUCGGAAAGCUCUGGGAUGCCAGCUUUUCCCACAUGUUCUCACUCACCCCUCUGUAAUACAGAUUCUGCAGCCCUGCCCCCCACACACACACUCCUACACCUCUGCUCUCAAAGUGAAGAAGUAGGCUAAUAUCUGUGGUACAUUUAUUUACCUACUCCCUGAGACUGCAGCUCCCUUAGUCAGUGUUGUGUCCUCCACUCAGGCUGGGGCUCCCUGAGGAUGGGGCUGUGUCUCCCCUCAGACUGGGGUUCCCCAAGGACAGGGCUGUGUCUCUCCUUAGGCUGGGGUCCCUGAGGGUGGGGCUGUGUCUCCCUGCAGAUUGGGGCUCCCUGAGGAUGGGGCUGUGUCUCCCUGAAGACUGGGGCUCCCUGAGGACAGGGCUGUGUCUCCCCUCAGGCUGGGGCUCCUUGAGGAUGGGACACUUUAAAGAAGAGAAAUUGACAGGUUGACCCUGGGGGAUCUUUGGGUCAAUAAAACAUUCUAUAGACCCUCAGUGGUCAGACUAGGA